CCUACGGGAGGCAUCAGUGUUUCAUCUUUCACAAUUUUCUCCCUCCUUAUGCAGCAACGCCGCGUGAAGGAAGAAGGCCUUCGGGUCGUAAACUUCUGUCCUUGGGGAAGAAGAACUGACGGUACCCAAGGAGGAAGCCCCGGCUAACUACGUGCCAGCAGCCGCGGUAAUACGUAGGGGGCAAGCGUUAUCCGGAAUUAUUGGGCGUAAAGAGUACGUAGGUGGCAACCUAAGCGCAGGGUUUAAGGCAAUGGCUCAACCAUUGUUCGCCCUGCGAACUGGGAUGCUUGAGUGCAGGAGAGGAA
rnacentral:rRNA from 1 species